rnacentral:rRNA from 1 species
UGGGGAAUAUUGGACAAUGGGCGAAAGCCUGAUCCAGCCAUGCCGCGUGUGUGAAGAAGGUCUUCGGAUUGUAAAGCACUUUAAGUUGGGAGGAAGGGCAGUAAGUUAAUACCUUGCUGUUUUGACGUUACCAACAGAAUAAGCACCGGCUAACUUCGUGCCAGCAGCCGCGGUAAUACGAAGGGUGCAAGCGUUAAUCGGAAUUACUGGGCGUAAAGCGCGCGUAGGUGGUUCAGCAAGUUGGAUGUGAAAUCCCCGGGCUCAACCUGGGAACUGCAUCCAAAACUACUGAGCUAGAGUACGGUAGAGGGUGGUGGAAUGUCCUGUGUAGCGGUGAAAUGCGUAGAUAUAGGAAGGAACACCAGUGGCGAAGGCGACCACCUGGACUGAUACUGACACUGGGGUGCGAAAGCGUGGGGAGCAAACA